UUGGAAGGUUGUGGUUCGAUCCCCGGCUCCUCCCGCCACAUGUCGAAGUAUCCUUGAGCAAGAUACUGAACCCCAAAUUGCUCCCGAAGCUGUGUAUCAGUGUGUGAAUGUGUAUGAAUGAGUUAGUUUCUGUUUGAUGGGCUUUGCCAUCACUGUGUGAAUGUGUGUGAAAGGGCGAAUGUGGCAUAUAUUGUAAAAGCGCUUUGAGUGGUCAGAAGACUAGAAAGGCACUAUACAAGUACAGGUCCAGUUACCAUUUAGUGGAUAGAUACCAUUCUGUUGGACUGAAACCACAGAAAAACUUGUUGUACAGUGGCAGUACCGAGUGAAGUUUCUUCGUUAAAUCCCAUGUAUGGGAGAAAUGUUCACACUGUUGAGCCUGGCUGUUGUAAAGGAGAGCAGAGUUGCAACACUAGCAGGCUGGGGUGUGUCAAGUAAGUUGAGAUCCCUGAUCCGCUAAAACCACAAUGGAGCAUUAGGGACUCCAUCUGAAUAACGCAAUGCACAGAGAUUAUAAUAACCAAAAGCUGUAUAAUGAUUGAAGUUGAUUCUAUAUUACAAAAUGAAAUAUGUAACAAUGAAAGGAAACAUGAUUAUAUGAUUGUAACUGAUUAUUUGAUAAUUAAUGAGUAUAAAUGCAUAGUAGUAAGAUAGAACUAUGGAAAGUAAGGUCAAGAGAGCAAAUCAUGUUGAAGUGUUGAGUAACUAGGUAAAAAGGUACGUAUUGCAACCGGACAUGCAACAUCUGGUGCGGAGAGAAAGGGGAACAAAGGGUCAAAUCAGGAUAAUGUUGAGUAACGAGUAAGAAGGCACAGCGGAUACAUCUUGUGAAGAUGAGCGCACACAGCGGAUACAUCUUGUAAAGUUAAGCGCACACACAGGACUGUCUUGUGAGGAGCAAAAGAGGAAGUGGCACGGCCCUGAACCGAACACCCUAGGGGGUUAAAAGGGGCUACACAAGGGGGAUUGUGGUUAGUCCUCAGCCGGCUCUCGGGUUCAAGACUUGCUGAUCGAUCGACCACAUUUGGGCAACUCAUCUUUGAACUUAGAAUUUCAACUCAAGAGACAGAGCAACAAACAAGCCAUCAUCACAGAAAGAGAAUUCCAACAACCUACAGCCGAGACGGGAGCGGCGGGCAGAAGAGGAUUUACCAUCUCCACCCGGCUGCAGGUUCCAAUUGAUCACCAAGGAUCACUCUUUCGUUCACCCUUCCAUCAGAGAACUGCACUGGUCAGAGACUUUGCGGACUUUGGACAAAGUCGGGAGUUUCAACAGCAACCAACAGUAUGGCAGGCGAGGAAGAACUGUAUCGGCCAGUACACCUCUUCCCUCUCUCUCUACAAGCUGGACAUUCGACCAUUCAGCUACAAGCCUUUUCAUCAGGGGUUUGAAUUUUAAACAAUUACUUACUUAAUUUUGGAAACCUAGUUAAUCAUUAUUAGUGAAUGUGAACAAUCAGUUUUUGAACCAGUUUAUGCUGUAUGCUGGCCCUUGCUAAAUCUUGCAAUAAAAAUAACCAUUGAAGUUAAAGAAUAAACUGUGGACAUUGGAUUUAUGAUAUCUCAUCAGGCAGUAAUUGUUAGGUAGAGUGAUCAUCAACUUAACGGUUCUAACAGGUUACUCUAGCCCAAGAAAUUAAACAGACCCUUAGGGCUUACUGUCCAAGCCCCUAAAACAAUCCUAGCAACUAACAAGUGCACAGGUCAGUAAGAGGAGAGCUGCUGUUAACAAACGUGACUACACUGAAAAAAGUGAAACUGCCGUGUCGUUUAUUUGAAGUGCAUUUUUACAUUGGACUAAGUGAAAAUCGUGCUUUCUGUUUCAAACCUGUUUUGUCUAGUUUGCCUUAAAGUAGAUAAUGAACCCCCUAGAACAAAUUAAAAGAACAAUUUUACUUCAGUCAUAUUUUUACUUCAGACCAGAAGAAAAAGGAAAAAAAAAAAGUUUUCAUGUCAUGUGACCACUCGACGUCACAUCUGCUACAUCCAGCCAGCGUUUUUACUGUCCGCCAUUACUUCGCUUCGAAUGUGAAGACUCCGUCACGUCGUGGCCCAGGAGGAGGAAAUCUCUUUUUGAUAGGGUAAGCUUUCGAAAACUGUGUUAUUUUAACGAGAACAAGUGUUUUUCAUUCACAUUUAUGAUUAGUGGUAAACUAAGCUACAUUAGAGAACUGUGUUUAGGCACGUGUUGCCUAAAGCUAACGUUAGCUAAACCAGGCUAUCGCAAUGCACCUGUUGGUCAAAUGCAAAGUCAAGUUCGUUGUUAAUAUUGUUUUACUUUGAUGUAACGGAAAUAUUAUGGGAGUGUCGUGUGAUAAUGUACGUUUGUCUUUAGUGAAUAUGCUUUAGCAACCAAUCAACUUUUAUUUUUCUUUUCUUGUAAGCGUUAACUAGUCUAGACAUUCGAGGUUUCUGUAUAUGAGAAGGCAAAUAAAUGUCCGAAUCAGUUGGAACAGGGUGCAUGUAAUGUCCGAUUGAGCCCGUGUGUGAUUAGAGCCGUCCACUGGGUCAGCACAACUCAGAAAAGUAAUUCAGGCGGCUGAAGAGGGGCGUUCUGUGUUUUCCUGAGGGCGGGGCUGCGCUGCCCACACACACACACAGGGCUGGCUGCAGAGCAGAGCACAGCGCGGACACAGUUUAAAGAAGUGACAACUGAAAUGCUCCCGACUGUAAGUGGCAUAAACAACCGGAAAAAACAACAACAUUUAUUAAAACUUAAUUUGACAUGGGUGGCACUGGUUCGCCUGCCGUGUCUCUCCGCCAUUGCCGAUAUGUGUAGUCACCGUUUGUUUACUGCAUGUAAACAUUCAGUUUAAAGCCAUUUCAGAAAUGCACUCCUUUAUUAUAAUCCGACACACUCCAAACAGUGAAUCCAUUCAGAUAAGCAAUAGAGGGUGUGAUUAAUAGUACAGUAUGUGAUUCAUUAAAUACAUUACAUUUUAGACAAAGAAUUCUGAUUGAAGAGGAAGAUGUCAUAUUCCAUUGUUUCAUCUGUCAGUUUAAAAUGCAGUAUAGUACAAUAUUACCAGUAUGAUUUAGGUCUAAUUAAUGAUUUACAGCUUGUAGUGUGGAUAGUGGUAACUGCCCCAACAAAAAAACAAAAUGUGAAUUCUCAGCUUUUCCUUUGUGUUUACAGGUUUGACGCUUCCUGGAAAUUUCACGAUUUUGGCCUUAUUGCUGAUCUGAUAAUUUUGGAUGGGAAGACAUGACAGGCAAAAGGCCAGCCAAGGUAUUCUGAACCCUGAUGACACCUGGAAGCUUAUUCUGCCUGAUGGAAUUCCAGAGUCAAUGGAGCAGCUUAUGGAUGAAAUCAGGAAAGUGUCUGGGCUAAAUGGAAUUUUAAGACUGCAGUACCAAGACAAAGACUUUGGAGAUGCUCUUGUGAACUUGACAUCUACUGCAGAGCUUGAGGAUUUGGCAACUGUCAAGGUCAUCCCAAUACCUGAUGAUGGCCAAGUAAUUACUCUCUCUUUCUGUAAUGAUAUAGUGUCUACUCAAUCAGAUGAUACUGAGCUCCUGUCAUCACCCUCCAGUUCUGUCUCUACAAGAACUCAGAUGUGGCCACGUGCAUUUCCGGUACCAACAUUCUCCUGUCACACUGAACUACAGCUAGAAAAGGGAAAUGCUGUGUUUAGGUCAAACAACACAAGGUUGACACUGGGUUGGAAAACAAAGUCAGAUAUUUUGGAAAAGUUAGCAGAAGAGAUAUUCAAGUUCAAAGCCUACCCAAUAGAUGCUGACUUUAGUGACGUUGCUUAAGCACUAAUCCAGAAACACCCCUGCCUCUCUGAACCUGGCUCAUACAAUGGAUGCUACGGGUGGAAGCAGCGGCUAAAGACAAAAAUGGAUCAAUGCUGAAUUUAUGAGAAUUAUAACUGUUCCACUUGAACCGCAAUUCCUGGCUUCCUUGUCAAGCACUACAACAAGCUGAUAGAGAUCAUCAGAAACAUGGGAGGAGUUGUCAGAGAGAAGACCCGGAGUAUACCGAAUCUUCUUAAUCAGGUUGUUCAGAAGGAGGAAGCUGAAACGGAGCUUGAGAGAUGUACAAUGGCCGUGUAUGUCAUCAAGGAAGAGGAGGAUCCUCUCCAGCCACCACAUGACAUUGGGGUUGUUAUUGAAGGAGUGCAGGUCCUGCUCAGUGAGUUGCCAUCAGUCCCACACACCUGUGCCAUGUUGUUCGGCCUCAUCUAUGCUCUUAACUUAAGCUAUACAAGUGAGCCCAAAUACACCUUUGAUGCAUUGCAGAAACUAUUCAUGGAGAUAGAACCCAAGAAAAUGACACGCAGAGUGUGCAGUCUGAGUGUCAAGCUCUAAAUAUUGGAUUCAUCAAAGAGACAUUGGAUACCGGAUGUGUUUUAUUUUGUGUUAUUGCUUGUAUUCAAAUAUAUUCUAUGAUAUAGGAAGGGGCCACUGUUAAAUGUUAAUAAGAGAAACAGACUUUAAUUAAAAACUGGCCUUCAAUUCUGAUUUUCUGUGUUCACGGAACAGUUUCUGUGAUAUAAAUAUUGUGGCACUGAUAUCAACACUGAAGUUCGAAUAAUGCAAAGUUCAUAAUUGCAGCAAUAGUAAUGGUAAUGUUUUUUUCUUAAACUGAAGAUCAACCUUUUGUUAUGGAUUGCAUCCACAGCAAUUAAACUGGGGGUACCCCUUAGUUGAAAAAAGUGUUGUCUCAAUUUCCGAUGGGGAGGUUUACAUACAUCCUGGUCAUUUUGUCGAAGGAAAGCCAAGGUUUUUGACAGUUAAACACUAUUUGUACACUUCUUUUUUGCUAUUUUAUACCACUUUAAGCUUUUCAUACCACAUUAAUGUGGUCAUAGAUACGGAAAUGUUGAUAUUGCAUUUGUAAUGGUUCAUCUUGAUCAUUUUGUCCCAAGGAUGGUAAGUUUUAAGACUAUUAGACUUAAUGGUUAUUAUAUUACAUAUCUCAAGUUUUAAUGGAGAGGCGUACAAAAAAGUUUUACAUUAGUGUGGUUAAUGUUACAGAAAGGUUACAGAAGUUUUAAAAAAAAGUAUUGAAAAGACCAUGAUUUUCUUUAAUUUAUUCUUGUGUUUUUUCUCAAAUGUGCUGUAAUGUGUAAAGUACAUACCGGCUAGCCUAACAGCCAGCAAAAUUUAGGGUUUUAUUUAUUUUUUUGUAUUUUUUUGUUUGUUUUUUUGACAACAGAGAAUGCGAUUUUUUUUUUUUUUAAACAAAGACAAUGCCAUCAUAAUAAACAUCAAGGUCUUUUGAUGAAAAUAUUCCUGUCUUAAUUCAUAGCAAGUCA